rnacentral:tRNA from 3 species
AAAAUCCGUCGACUUUAAAAAUCGUGAG